rnacentral:sRNA from 1 species
GAUACUAUAAUAUUUUUCAAUAUUUUUACUAUUUGGAUAUAAUGCUGCAUUGGAUUGACUUUGUUUAAAAAUGUUAUUU